UGUGGAGGAUGAUGAGCUGCACCGAGGGGAGCCGUGGUGCUGUGCGCCUUGGAGCCCAUCAGACCCUGCUGGUGACUCUCCCAUGUGCACAGGGGCCAGCUGACUCCACA